rnacentral:rRNA from 1 species
UACGUAGGGGGCGAGCGUUGUCCGGAAUCUUGGGCGUAAAGCGCGUGUAGGCGGUUCGGUAAGUCUGCUGUGAAAGUCCAGGGCUCAACCCUGGGAUGCCGGUGGACUACUGCCGAACUAGAGUGCGGAAGAGGCGAGUGGAAUUCCUGGUGUAGCGGUGGAAAUGCGUAGAUAUCAGGAGGAACACCGGUGGCGAAGGCGGGACUCUGGGCCGAUACUGACGUGAGGAGCGGAAAGCGUGGGGGAGCAAACAGG